rnacentral:rRNA from 1 species
AGUCCUCGUGUUGCACCC